AUUAGGUUGGUGCAAAAGUAAUUGAGGUUUUUGCCAUUAAAAGUGAUGCCAAAAAUCACAAUUACUUUUGCACCAACCAAAUAGUUUGUUCCCUACAUCCAUAAUU
rnacentral:miRNA from 10 species